rnacentral:rRNA from 1 species
UACGGGGGGAGCAAGCGUUGUUCGGAUUUACUGGGCGUAAAGGGCGCGUAGGCGGCCUCUGCAAGUCGACUGUGAAAUCUCCGGGCUUAACCCGGAAAGGUCAGCCGAUACUGCAGGGCUAGAGUGCAGAAGGGGCAACUGGAAUUCUCGGUGUAGCGGUGAAAUGCGUAGAUAUCAGGAGGAACACCGAUGGCGAAGGCAGGUCUCUGGGCCACUACUGACGCUGAGAAGCGAAAGCAUGGGGGAGCGAACAGG